CAGCAGUGUCUGGAUUCAAGUGAUUGCUGCUCAAUUUGCUGCUGUCUGAACACCAAGAUCCUCAUCAGCCCUGUAAAGAGCCAGGAGAGGUGGAUCAGCCAUGAAGAUCCUGUACCUGCUCUUCCCCUUGCUCCUCCUGUUGGUGCAGAAUGUUGAAGGAAUUAAAAAUGCAUGCCAGCUCCUAGGGGGAUACUGCACGUUUUGGAAGUGCAAGUCCGGUACAAGAUUUAUUGGACACUGUUCAGCAUUCACCAUUUGCUGUGAACGUGUGCGGGGUUGAGACCCUGAAAUGUCCCAGCAGGACGUCCCCCUCGCUUCUGGCUCCUGGAACCAUCUCCUGAGGUCCUCUCCCCUCCCUGCCUCUGCCAUGCCCAGCUGCUGGCACAGCAGCAGUGGCAGCUGCUCCUGCUGGGUGCUGCUGGGCUGGAGACAUCUCAUCCCAGCCGUGGGGUCUGUGGGGCAGAGGCUGCUUUUCCCAGCUUGAAU